rnacentral:lncRNA from 13 species
ACCUUGUUUCUUCCACCAUGGUUGAGACGUUGACAGGUUUUCUAACCUGAAUCGUUAAUAAUAUCUCGCGGGGCAAACGACACUUUUUUCUGUCGAAUUCGUAUGUGUGAUGCAAAAACGCGUUGUAUGAGCUUAUAAUAAAUGGAGCUCAGGAUUUGAUGUUACAAGGACAUCCAUUCUUUUCAUUUUACACUGGUAAGAAA